rnacentral:rRNA from 1 species
UACGGAGGGAGCUAGCGUUGUUCGGAAUUACUGGGCGUAAAGCGCGCGUAGGCGGCUUUGUAAGUUAGAGGUGAAAGCCCGGGGCUCAACCCCGGAACUGCCUUUAAGACUGCAUCGCUUGAAUCCAGGAGAGGUGAGUGGAAUUCCGAGUGUAGAGGUGAAAUUCGUAGAUAUUCGGAAGAACACCAGUGGCGAAGGCGGCUCACUGGACU